UCUCCCUACAGGAGGCAGCAGUGGGGAAUGUUGCACAAUGGGGGAAACCCUGAUGCAGCAACGCCGCGUGAGUGAAGAAGUAUCUCGAUAUGUAAAGCUCUAUCAGCAGGGAAGAAGGUGACGGUACCUGAGUAAGAAGCCCCGGCUAACUACGUGCCAGCAGCCGCGGUAAUACGUAGGGGGCAAGCGUUAUCCGGAUUUACUGGGUGUAAAGGGAGCGUAGACGGCAUAGCAAGUCUGAAGUGAAAGCCCAAGGCUCAACCAUGGGACUGCUUUGGAAACUGUUAAGCUAGAGUGCUGGAGAG
rnacentral:rRNA from 1 species